UACGUAGGGUGCAAGCGUUAAUCGGAAUUACUGGGCGUAAAGCGUGCGCAGGCGGUUAUGUAAGUCAGAUGUGAAAGGCCCGGGCUUAACCUGGGAACUGCAUUUGUGACUGCAUGGCUAGAGUUUGGCAGAGGGGGGUAGAAUUCCACGUGUAGCAGUGAAAUGCGUAGAUAUGUGGAGGAACACCGAUGGCGAAGGCAGCCACCUGGGUCAAGACUGACGCUAAUGCACGAAAGCGUGGGGAGCAAACAGG
rnacentral:rRNA from 1 species